rnacentral:ribozyme from 1 species
UGCCCAGCAACUCCUAUCCCUACCUCCUCGCGGUACUGGCCGGGAUACGAGUAACCUUAGGGAAGAUCGUAUGCUGACAGGGAAGG